UUGCAGAGGGCGCUUUGGUGUUGGCAGCGGUCCAAGUUCCUUGGAACAGGACGUCACAGAGGGUGAGAAUCCCGUACGUGGUCGCUAGCCUCCGCCGUGUAAAGCCCCUUCGACGAGUCGAGUUGUUUGGGAAUGCAGCUCUAAAUGGGAGGUAAAUUUCUUCUAAAGCUAAAUACUGGCCAGAGACCGAUAGCGCACAAGUAGAGUGAUCGAAAGAUGAAAAGCACUUUGGAAAGAGAGUCAAAUAGCACGUGAAAUUGUUGAAAGGGAAGCGCUUGCAGCCAGACUUGCCUGUAGUUGCUCAUCCGGGCUUUUGCCCGGUGCACUCUUCUACAGGCAGGCCAGCAUCAGUUUGGGCGGUUGGAUAAAGGUCUCUAUCACGUACCUCUCUUCGGGGAGGCCUUAUAGGGGAGACGUCAUGCAACCAGCCUGGACUGAGGUCCGCGCAUUUGCUAGGAUGCUGGCGUAAUGGCUGUAAGCGGCCCGUCUUGAAACACGGACCAAGGAGUCUAACAUCUAUGCGAGUGUUUGGGUGUCAAGCCCGAGCGCGUAAUGAAAGUGAACGGAGGUGGGAACCCUUUGGGUGCACCAUCGACCGAUCCUGAUGUCUUCGGAAGGAUUUGAGUAAGAGCAUGGCUGUUGGGACCCGAAAGAUGGUGAACUAUGCUUGAAUAGGGU
rnacentral:rRNA from 1 species